UAUUCUGCCCCAUGGGGAAGGAUGAGAAGCUUCGACUAAGGUUCGACUCGAGCGCCAGCGAGAGAACGUUGCCGCAGGCAACGGCCCGAAGGGCGAGGAGAGAUAGCGACGAGUUAUCCUUCCCCCACCACCA
rnacentral:sRNA from 1 species